rnacentral:rRNA from 1 species
GGAAACUGGAUAACUNGAGUGCAGAAGAGGGUAGUGGAACUCCAUGUGUAGCGGUGGAAUGCGUAGAUAUAUGGAAGAACACCAGUGGCGAAGGCGGCUACCUGGUCUGCAACUGACGCUGAGACUCGAAAGCAUGGGUAGCGAACAGGAUUAGAUACCCUGGUAGUCCAUGCCGUAAACGAUGAGUGCUAGGUGUUGGAGGGUUUCCGCCCUUCAGUGCCGGAGCUAACGCAUUAAGCACUCCGCCUGGGGAGUACGACCGCAAGGUUGAAACUCAAAGGAAUUGACGGGGGCCCGCACAAGCGGUGGAGCAUGUGGUUUAAUUCGAAGCUACGCGAAGAACCUUACCAGGUCUUGACAUCUUGCGCCAACCCUAGAGAUAGGGCGUUUCCUUCGGGAACGCAAUGACAGGUGGUGCAUGGUCGUCGUCAGCUCGUGUCGUGAGAUGUUGGGUUAAGUCCCGCAACGAGCGCAACCCUUGUUACUAGUUGCCAGCAUUAAGUUGGGCACUCUAGUGAGACUGCCGGUGACAAACCGGAGGAAGGUGGGGACGACGUCAGAUCAUCAUGCCCCUUAUGACCUGGGCUACACACGUGCUACAAUGGACGGUACAACGAGUCGCGAACUCGCGAGGGCAAGCAAAUCUCUUAAAACCGUUCUCAGUUCGGACUGCGGGCUGCAACUCGCCUGCACGAAGUCGGAAUCGCUAGUAAUCGCGGAUCAGCAUGCCGCGGUGAAUACGUUCCCGGGCCUUGUACACACCGCCCGUCACACCAUGAGAGUUUGUAACACCCAAAGUCGGUGGGGU